UGGGGAAUCUUGCGCAAUGGGCGAAAGCCUGACGCAGCGACGCCGCGUGAGUGAUGAAGGCCUUCGGGUUGUAAAGCUCUGUGGGGAGGGACGAAUAAGGUUUGGCUAACAUCCAAACCGAUGACGGUACCUCCUUAGCAAGCACCGGCUAACUCUGUGCCAGCAGCCGCGGUAAGACAGAGGGUGCAAACGUUGUUCGGAAUUACUGGGCGUAAAGCGCGUGUAGGCGGCUAUGCAAGUCGGGCGUGAAAUCCCACGGCUCAACCGUGGAAGUGCACUCGAAACUGCGUAGCUAGAGUCCUGGAGAGGAAGGUGGAAUACUUGGUGUAGAGGUGAAAUUCGUAGAUAUCAAGUGGAACACCGGUGGCGAAGGCGGCCUUCUGGACAAUGACUGACGCUGAGACGCGAAAGCGUGGGGAGCAAACAG
rnacentral:rRNA from 1 species